rnacentral:tRNA from 1 species
GGGCCGCUAGCUCAGGAGGUAGAGCAACUGCCUUUUAAGCAGUGGGUCGAAGGUUCGAGUCCUUCGCGGCUCACCA